rnacentral:tRNA from 1 species
AUUUAAAUAGCUUAUAAAAUAGAGUACAAUAUUGAAGAUAUUGGGGAGAUUGUUUAAUCUUUAAAUA